CUUCAUUGUCAAGAAGCACAACGACAUCAGUGUGUUCAAUCAGGGAAUGUGUGGAGAGCACACUAUUAUAAGGCUCAACAACAGCAGUUGAAAUCUGCAGCAGGAAAUGGUUUCAGUACAGCGUACUUGUACUUUACAAUCAGGAAAUGGAUCAAGGUGAGGCACGGCAUAUCACACCUGUGUAAUGUCCACGGGCAAAGUUGUUCGCAGCGUCUUCCUUGUGGGAGAUGAGCUGCUCCGGAUGGAAGAGCUGGCGAUAUAUCCCAGUCUUCACCUCAUCGAUAACUGUGGGCUCCAAGUCAACGAACAAGGCUCUCGGAACGUGCUUCCCCGCGCUCGUUUCACUGAAGAACGUGUUGAAUGCAUCCCUCGCAACCCCAACAGAGGUGUCACUGCAAGGCAACGGGCAAAAAACAGAGAAAUUGAAUACUGCAAAACAGGUGAGCUAUGCGUGCACAUCGGAGGCCAGUCACAUGCUUAUCCUCCCUGAUGCUUGUUUCACAAAGGAGCUUCUUUUAUAUGCAGAUAUUUUUUCCCCAUCUUUUGAUUGAGGCCCUUUUCUACUUUUUAAGCAAGUGGUUUUGGACGCAGGGGUGUCAUCAACUCAUAAAGAAAAAUUUCAGAGCAUCCGACAAAGUUUCUCAAGCUUUGGCUUUAGGCUUUCAUCCAGUAAAGAUCGUCCUCAGGAUUAUCUCUGAAAAAUCCCUUUUGUGGCUACUACUACAAGAACCAAGAAGGCAGCGCUAUCUAAGAAAAAUUAUCUGUGCUCGAAUCAUUAGACUGACAAAAAUUCGACAGAAUUCUCAAAGAAGGGUGAGAUGAACAAAGAGUCAGAAGUGCGAGAAUUGGCUUAGAAGGGGGGGCGCACCUGGGCAUGAGGCCAUCAGGCUGGAUACCAUGCUCGAGGCAGUAGAGCUCCCAGCAUGAAUUCCCCACCUGGAUGCCCGCCUGCCCGAUAUGGAUGCUGAUGAUCUCCCUCAUCUUCUCCGUCUCUCGCUCUCUCCGUGCUUCAGUUCUGCGGCCCUGGGAGAGCAGGAGCAGACACCUGCACGGGGAAGAAGCCUGCGAACCAAAAAGGCUUGCACCACGGCACACGGGGAAA